rnacentral:snRNA from 1 species
GGAGGUGAGGUCGAUCUGCCUGCAACAUCUGUGAUGACACUGAUCGCCAGGUUCGAUUUGAAUUAUCUGGGUCGCCAGGCGGGUGUCCCCUGCACCCCCACCGUUCCACGUGUGUCUUUCCCAAAGCCUAGAGCUCUGUCAAAGAGGACGACCACCCCUGAGAGAGGAGGACCCUUUCCUCAGUCAGGGGGAUAGGAGUGGCUGCUCUCCCCUGCUAGAACCCCCAAACAAACUCUCAAGAAAAGUAUGGCAAAUUACUUGGGGUGACGUUGUUGACAUUUCAGACCAGAACUGAUUCCCCUUUCCAUCUAGAUUUAAUUCAUAUUUCUUGUAUAG